AAAUGUAGAAGACGGAAUCAAUGAAAGUUCAUUCCGGCAGGAGAGGAAAAUCCCAUCGAAGAAGGGGAAGAGCUGUCCCUCCUUAGCCCCCCCGGGGAAACGAGCCCGAAUCCCGCGCUGAGCCGCAGCCGAUGCUGGCAGUCUGCACCCGGUGAGGAGGGGCAGAAAAAAGGCAUCUGGAGGAGGAGGACGCGGAGAGCGGCCGGGGCACGAGACAAAAAGCCCGUCAAGGUUGCCCCGCUCCCGGGGGGAGCCGGCCAGCGCAGCGGCCGCCAAGAACUCAAGCCCAACGUGGGGGCCGAGGGGGCCGGGCUGGACCUGGGCGAGCGGUUCUGGGCGUUCCGGCCGCCAGUGGGCACGGGCGCCGAGAGCUGGGAGCGUCUGCCCGCAACCUCACAGCCUCAGGCGCGGCUCGCCCCUCUCCAGGCGCUCAGCAUCCCUCCGCGGCCUCGCGCUCGCUUCAGCGCCCUGGCCUUGGCCGGGGUCCGGAGCACCGAGGCGUGUCCCUGACCGUCCGGCUGCAGGAGCCCCGCCAGCCUCCGUGUGCCUCAGCGACGCCCGGACGCUCCGCUGCCGCGCUCCAGCCUCCUCCGCCGCCCUCUGGAGGAGCUAGGGUAACGGCCUCGGAACCGCAGUGCCGCAGCACACCCGCCGCCGGCCUGGCGGGCGAGCGCGCCACUCCCUCCGCGCCAGUAUCCUUCCGCCGACUCCCCGCCCUCCCGCGCCUCUACCUCUGGAUUGUGGGAGAAGAAAACCGCUGCAAGAGCGCGCUCCCGCGUGAGCGCGCCCCCGGCCGGCCCGCCGCCGCCCAGAUUCUGGCGGAGCGUGGACGCGCGGACGAUGCAGCUGCGGCGGGGGCCCGCGUCGAGUCCGCGCCCCGGACGGAUGCCAGGGUGUAGGGGGCGAGACUGAGGAACCGGGCAAGACUGAGGAACCGGGUCUGUCUGCUUGCUCGCUCAUGUCUAAUUAUGGUUUCUUUCCUCCUGGAGCGCCUUCUUUCAUGUGUGAAGGAAAAGGAACGAAACCCAUCUUUUUUUUAAACACGAGGGGUGCAGACAUCCUCUUUCGGACACUUUGAUUUGCUCUGUUAAACAUGCUUUCUCGCCCCCUAAAAGGCCUAGGAAAGCUGCAGCAAGAAGCAAAAGCACAUCUUGGGGGGAUGGAGGUUGUUUUUGUUUUCCCGUCUUUUCAUAUAUAUAUGAAAUAUUUAUAGAUAUAAUAUAUAUUUAUAUAAUUUAUAUAUUAUAUAUAUAUGAAAUAUUUAUAAGAGUCGAGAAUAACCAAAGCUGCCUUUCAACAUGGGAUUUCCUGACUGGAGUUUCCAUGAUGCAGGCAUUAUUUUUUGACUUCUUGGUCACUGGGAAAAAAAAUCCAAAUUGAGAGCCACAAGAGAAAAUAUUUAGAAAUCAUCCAAGUUGUGUGACAAACAUUUGUUAAAAAUCAUUUAUCUUAUGUACUAGAGGGCCCAUCAAAAUAUGACAGUUCCACAGCAAAUUAAAUGUUAUUCUUCCUCAUACCCAUAGCAUGUCCAGGAUAAGAUGGAAUAGAAAACAUCUUUUUCCAAACACAAUAUGGUAUUGUGAUAUUACAAUGCAUUUUAUGUUUGCACAGUGCUUACAAGUACCUAUCCUCUUUGACUACUCAUAUGUUUAAUGAUAUCUAUUUUUGUAUGUUUUAUUUUUCAUUGAUUGUAUGAAUUUUUGCCUUGGAUGUAUGUUUCUUCCCCACUUAUGUGCCUGGUUCCUGUGGAGGUCAGAAGAGGGCACUAGGUUCCCUGGAACAGAGGUUAGAGGCAGCCAUGAGCCACUGGAUGCCAGGAAUCAAACCCUGGUCCUCUGCACCAGCAACCAGAGCUCAUAACCACUGAGUCAUCUCUCCAUCUCUCAUAAUUUAAGGUAACAGUAAACAUGUUUUAUCAUAUACUAAAUUAAACACCACAAUUUCUUC
rnacentral:lncRNA from 1 species